UAGGGCAAAGGUAUGUUUCUUUUCCCAGACUUCUACAUUUGAAAGCGGACGGUUAGACCAUAGCGACAUCAUGCGUUUUACACUCCAACCAAGUCCAGCCGAGGAGAAGGGUUGUUAAAUACGAGUUCACUUGGCUGAAUGAAUGCAGAAAAUCUACGCCAUGUUGGAAAGAUUGGAACCAGCUCAACCGGAAUGACAGGGUAAAGGAAACUGAAAUAAACUUGCAAAUGAAGGCACGUCAUAUGGGGGAACUAGUACGGACGAACUUUCCAGAACUGAGAAAUGCAGACUUAACAAGGAUUCGUGUAUACAAAUCGUAUAGCAGAGAAAGUAGAAUGGAGAGAGUGUUUUCUGGUAUCCCAGAUGCAAAGAGUAUAAAGGACACCUUUAACAAGCCCUCGUCAUUAAGGGUUUACCUCUACCUGAAGCCAGACACAUCAGCCUUGACACCACCUUCCACAUCUGCAUCCAAUGCAGACUCUGGUUCACGAUCCGAUAUUUCUGCUCCUGUAGUUGCCAUACAGCCAAACCCAAUUCCUCCACGUGGCCAACCAAACAGUAACUUUUCUGUGAGAGCUCAUCUUACCUCACCAGCCACCCACUCAAACCCAUGUCUCCUACAUCUAUAGGGUCAAAUGGUGCCCCACCAACUGCAUGGACCCAACAAGAUCGAACCCACCACAUAACAGAUCCUGGUAUUCAGCACCAAGUAAUACAUGUUCAGUCAGAUUAUGAUGGCAAUGAUUUGCUUGAUAGUGUGUGCGAUGACCAUUAAUUCAUGGAGAUUGAUUCGAUGGGAAAACAAGGUAUUAAAACGCUUACUUACUUAAAUUUAGAAUGAUAUUCUUGGUCCACAUCAUGGAGUGACUGUGUACAAUAAUAACAAACUUCUACAUAAGAAAAAUGGUUUGAACCCAGGAGUAACAUACCUUGAUUGAAAAAGA